UACGUAGGCAGCAAGCGUUGUUCGGAGUUACUGGGCGUAAAGGGUGCGUAGGCGGCUUUUUAAGUCUGGUGUGAAAUCUCCCGGCUCAACUGGGAGGGUGCGCCGGAUACUGAGGGGCUAGAGUGUGGGAGAGGAAAGUGGAAUUCCUGGUGUAGCGGUGAAAUGCGUAGAUAUCAGGAGGAACACCGGUGGUGUAAACGGCUUCUGGACCAUAACUGACGCUGAGGCACGAAAGCGUGGGUAGCAAACAGG
rnacentral:rRNA from 1 species